CCCAGACUCCUACGGGAGGCAGCAGUGGGGAAUAUUGCACAAUGGGGGAAACCCUGAUCCAGCGACGCCGCGUGAGUGAAGAAGUAUUUCGGUAUGUAAAGCUCUAUCAGCAGGGAAGAAAGAAAUGACGGUACCUGAGUAAGAAGCCCCAGCUAACUACGUGCCAGCAGCCGCGGUAAUACGUAGGGGGCAAGCGUUAUCCGGAAUUACUGGGUGUAAAGGGAGCGUAGACGGUAAUGCAAGUCUGGAGUGAAAGGCGGGGGCCCAACCCCCGGACUGCUCUGGAAACUGUGUAACUGGGGUGCAGGAGAGGCAGGCGGAAUUCCUAGUGUAGCGGUGAAAUGCGUAGAUAUUAGGAGGAACACCAGUGGCGAAGGCGGCCUGCUGGACUGUAACUGACGUUGAGGCUCGAAAGCGUGGGGAGCAAACAGGAUUAGAUACCCGAGUA
rnacentral:rRNA from 1 species